CUCAGAUGUGACUCUUCAGGCAUUCAUCGUGUCUUCAUCGAUACAGCUGGUCCAGGGAUCGAUGCGACCAGGACUUCUGUGAUUGUAAGAGAGGCGGAUGUGAUCUACUCUGACAUCAAGCUCAGCCCAUCCAGAAGCUCUACUCCUUCAUCCAAAUACAAGCACAGAGACAACGUGAAUGCUGAUGUCGUGUACUCCGAGGUGGCUGUUUUACAUCGACAGCCUACUGAGAAGAUGUUUAUGUACUGCAGAAGGACUGAUGAAGUUCUUUCUUGUGCUUGCUGAGUGCACAAAAACACUCUUAAUCCUGCUGGAAGCACACUGUGGUGCCAUCAUUUGGUAUAAUCAGCAAAAUCUGACCUGAUUCUGAUCACCUAAUCCUAAAAUAUAUUCUAUAAUGAUCUUUGUAGCAGCUCCAGCCCCUCUGUUUAAAUACAGGCUGUACUAGAACCAAAUAAUAUUGUUUUAUUGCUAAUAUGUCUCUACAGUUAAUGCUACCAUGUUGAUGCUUCGUAGGUCUGUGUAUCAUCUUCAGUGUUGGUUUAGCUUGUUAGCUUCCCAUAAAUGCAGCAAUAUAAUACCAUAGCAUAGCAAGGUGAUUGUGAAUAGUUUUGAAGGUGUUUGGUAACAACCAACAUAACAUUUUGUCCUGAUAGUGUUGCACGAUGAGUUAUUCCAAUGCAUCCUGAAUGGACUAUUAUUUUGUUUUUACCAAAUUUGGCAGCAAUAGAAGAAAACUGGAUCACCAAAGUUGUGUCCUCAAAAGACCUUAAAGAUAAUUUAAUAGCUGUUUGGUGCAAUUUCUCUCUAAGCCUUUUGGUUAAAUCUCUGGACACAAUCCACACAACAGUGGACAUAUAUCUGCAGUAGAACAAGAAAUGGCCACACUAAAAUGUUUUCUGGAAAUGUCCAGUAUGCAAUCAAGGUAAACAGCUUCUUGUAUCUAGCUAUGCUGUGCAGUGGGGAAAUGCCUGCAUGUCUUUUUCUGCCAUUACUGCUGUAAAAACAACAUCUGAAUCUCGCUUUGCAGAUUAUAUUCAUGUAGUGAAGACAAGUCCUGCUGUGGAUGUUACUGAGUCUGGCUCGCAAGGUAUUACAUAACCUGUCAUGUAUGGACAUGUGUGGUCAUAACAGCAAAGCUGACAUACAGGCAAGUGCAAUUCUCGACAAAAAUUACACAUAGUUCCUCUUUUGCCAAACAUCAAGAGGAAGGUGGAAAGAAGAAGACAAACAUUAGAAAUUAUUACAGAAUACAGAUCACUACACAUCUAUACCAGAUCAGAUUUCCACCCCCAGAUUUAUGUGUUCAGAGCGAUUCACGGCCAUUUAUCUACGGUCUGGCACUGAGGCACAGAGUGCUACAUUACUUAUUUUGUUGCUCUGACUGGCUGUAGGUUUACUGAUCUGCCCUUGUUUAAAUCUCGCACCAUGAAGAUUGAAAACAUGCUGAGUGAUUCCAGACUAAUUUGAAUGUCUGCAUUUGUCCAGCAAUCCAAAGUUAGCAAAAACCAGGAUGACAUGUCAGUCUUGGAAAGAGCUAAAAGUGUUAGGAGACUUGAACAGACAAACAUUUUCUCAAUUUCUGCAGUGAAAUUACUUUGUUGGCUGAAGCAGGUAAAUUCAUUCAAAUUCAGAGUUCUUCCACCUUACUCUUUCCUAGAGCAGCAUUAAUUCAAAAACAAAUUGUAUGUCAUACAGCAUUGCCUGUUGUUCAGUCCCACAGAUUACAGUAGGGGUUGCUGCUUAACCCUGUGGUGCAGAACAUUGCUCAAUGUGAAUGUAACAAUUCUGUCUUGAACUGUUGCAGUCUGCGACACCUUAAGCAAGAAAAAAAAAGGUGACAAAAUGAAGGUCUCAGCAUUUCCUGACUUUUUCUUUCUGUGGGUGAGAUGUUGCUAACAGCCAUGUGCGAUGUCUUCUAGACUCACCCUGCGCUGUUCGAACGUGUGAGCACAAAAUCUACUUUUCUCUUGUUUUGCUAUUUUUUGUGUUGUGCAAAAGUCAGAAGUUGAAAAGUUUGAUUAUCUAAUUGAAAUGUUUUUCAAAAGAUAAUGUAGGCCUUUAGACAGAAAUGAGUGCUGUUAACUCUACAUUUGCUUUAAUAGAUGUUUUGUUAAUAUCUGUGUUUGUCAAUUGCAAUUGUUACCUCAAAAACUUUGUUUCACAGA